UACGUAGGUGGCAAGCGUUGUCCGGAUUUAUUGGGUUUAAAGGGUGCGUAGGCGGUCUAUUAAGUCAGUGCUGAAAUAUCCCAGCUUAACUGGGAGGGUGGCAUUGAUACUGAUGGACUUGAGUAAAGUUGAGGUUGGCGGAAUUGACGGUGUAGCGGUGAAAUGCUUAGAUAUCGUCAAGAACACCUAUUGCGAAGGCAGCUAACUAAGCUUUAACUGACGCUGAGGCACGAAAGUGUGGGGAUCAAACAGG
rnacentral:rRNA from 1 species